GGGACCAUUGUAUGCAUUGCAGGCUGGGAGAUAUCCAUCUGGAAGGAAGAAGAAUGAUGUAUGUCUCUCCCAGAGUAGUUAGAACUCAGCAAAGUUAAAUGAUGUCCAAGGGAAUCACAUCUUUGGCCCAAGGAAGCUUUAAUGCCAGGUCUUUCACAGGAAGUGUACCUUGUGGUUGGAGCAGGGAGUGGGAAUCAACUUCCAAUUCUACAAAGGAAGAAUUAUCAAGCAAUUAAACAGGGGGACUGGGAGUCACAACUUUGAGCUUUCAUUUUUGACAGUCAGAUUUGUUGCAUGAUCAGGGGAGUCCAUGUUGCCCCACAAUCAACAACAGAAUGAACCCCAGGACCCGUGCAGUGAAUCUGAGGUUUUAAAGGGAUUACCGAUUAUCUCAGAGGUAACAAGGUUUGCCUGCCAGUUCGUGACCAGAUUUUCCUGAAUUAGUGAACCCCAAAAACAAACCUUGAUGCAGACCAGGCCAGCUUGCCUGCCCAGGAAAGAAGAGCUCCUGGAUCCUGCUGGCUCUCAUUCAUGUGGCAUGGUAUCAAAACAACAAAAACAGCCAUCAGCAAUGAAGUGUGAGAAUCUAACUGGACAUUUAACCUGCCACAGACAUACCCCAUCUUGUGUUUUAGCAGUAAAGGAAAGGGCUUACCUCUCAGCUGCAGUCACCUCUAGUAUAUCCAUCACUUCAACUGGAUAUCAACCAUAUGCACAGCUUCUGGUGUCAGACAGCUUUAACUUCAAGGAACACUUCCCUGGCUCCAGAUUUUAGAUAUGGUGAAAAAAGGAUCAAAG